UGGGGAAUAUUGGACAAUGGGCGCAAGCCUGAUCCAGCAAUGCCGCGUGGGUGAAGAAGGUCUUCGGAUUGUAAAGCCCUUUUGGCAGGGACGAUGAUGACGGUACCUGCAGAAUAAGCCCCGGCUAACUUCGUGCCAGCAGCCGCGGUAAUACGAAGGGGGCUAGCGUUGCUCGGAAUGACUGGGCGUAAAGGGCGCGUAGGCGGCUGUCACAGUCAGAUGUGAAAUUCCUGGGCUCAACCUGGGGACUGCAUUUGAUACGUGGCGGCUUGAGUGGAGAAGAGGGUCGUGGAAUUUCCAGUGUAGAGGUGAAAUUCGUAGAUAUUGGAAAGAACACCGGUGGCGAAGGCGGCGACCUGGUCUUUAACUGACGCUGAGGCGCGAAAGC
rnacentral:rRNA from 1 species